CUAGAAGAAAAAAAACCCUACUCAGAAGUCAGAAGUCAGAACUAGGAAUCAUGUUCAUUGUCAGGUUCAUUCUAUUUCAAACUACAAGCAGUGACGGAAAGAAAGUCCAUGCUAUGGAAUUCAUAGCUAAUUGAUAAGUAUAGACUGCCAUGGGAUUCUGACAAAUGAGGUGAAGGUAAGGUCAUGGAAUCCUCUGCCAAUUGAAAGGUGAAGAUCAUCAACUGCGUAGGGAAGUGAAGGUCAACAUCAUGGAAUACUCUACGAAAUGAGAAAAGCAGGUCAACAUUGUGGGAUUCCCUGCCCAAUUAAAAUGUGAAGGUCAACGCAAUGGAAUACUCUGCCAAAUUAGUGGUCAAUGCCAUGAGAUGCCCAGCCUAUUUAACAUUGAAGGUUAGAGCCAUGGGAUCCUUUGCCAAAAGAGAAGUGAAAAUAAACAUGAAGUGAUGCAGAAAUCCGUGGAAUCCUCUGCCGAAUGAGAGGUCAAGGUCAACGUCAUGGAGACCUUUUCGACAUAAGAAGUAAGGUCGUCACUGAAUCCUCUGCCAAUUGUGGGUAAAAUGUCAAGUCCUGGAAACCUUUACCACAUGAAAGCGAAGGUCAAAGUAGUGAAUUUCUCGUCAUAGGAUGGUGAGGGUCAGCGUUGUGGAAUCCUCUGACAAAUUACUUAAGGUCAAUUCUAUGGCAUCCUAUAUCAAGAAGUGAAGGUCAGCUUAAUGGAUCCUCUGUCAAUUUAAUAUGAAGAUCAACGUCAUGGAAUCCUAUUCCAGGUGCCAGGGGAUGAUGAACAGCAUAUAUUUCAUAGCCAAAUGAAGGUUGAGAUUUCCUGCUAGACGAUAGGUGACAUCAUGGAAUUCUCACGAGUAAUAAAACUUCGUAGAAUUAUCUGCUGCACGGCACGGAAAUCUCAAAGAAUCUUGAGAUAACCGGAUUAGAGGCAAGGUAUAGUAUCUUGCCUGAAAAGAACUUUACAUAUUCAAGGGGAAACUCUAACGUCUCGGCAACACAAGUCAUUAUCAAGAUGAUCCCAUCAAUCAAGCCAUCUUGAAGCAAACAGUCAUCGUCGAUAAAUGUACAAAAUUUUUAUUUCUCUAUACUAGAACCCCAAAGUCUUAAUCUAUACAGAUCGGAUAUAUGCGCACUUAAAUUUAGAUUUGUUCACGAACAAUUAGCACUUCAGAACCUUUAGAUUCCAAGUAAUGCUGUCCUUCAGUAAGAUCAGUAUUAACUUUGUCAAGCUUCAUAAAAUAUAAAGCAUAAUUUACUUGCAGGAAUGUUGAAAGCACCUUCUAAUAUUAAAAAUUAAAAUUUGUUGAUAAUCACUAACUUGUAACUUUAAAAUUGCAUAGUUCCUGACUUGAAUUUGUUCUUAAUUGGUUAAAUGAAAUAAUUUGUGCUAUAUUAAAAGAUCUUUACUUACAAUACAGCUUUUUUAAAAAAAAAAAAUCACUGAACAGUGAACUCCAACCGAAUUAGGGUUUUGUACAUGCAAC